UUUCAUGUUUAAAACUUGAGUAAUGAGCAUUAUUUUUCGUAACAUUCAAAAGGGCAUAUCGCACGAUAUGCCCUAAUCACAUGUUAGUACCGAAAUGUAGUCUUCAUUGAAUCUUGCUGGUUUUCGAAUAUCCCUUCGAGGGAAUCCUGAUCGCGUUCGAUUACAAUCAUCCAACUGCUUUGGAACAGAAUCUAUAUCGUUAUCUUCACCUGAAUCCAGUGUGUCUGAUGCCUCACAUAAGGAUGGACAUGGGACUUUUCUCAAAUCGUUGAUGCUUCUUGCAUACUGUACACCAUUUCCACUUAUAAUUACCAUCUUCGGCCCGUCUUGAGCAACGACUGUAUAGCGCUCCGAGGAGAAUGUAGGAUCUGUUUUCUACUUCUUCUGUUGCCUUACAAAGACAACGUCUCUUAUGCGAAUGUCUGAAGGCUUAGCUUGUCGUACACGGUCUGCAUGUUUCUUACUAUAUAGCUUUUCUUCUAAGUCUUUUUCGCGAAUAUCUAUUCUAUCUAGUUUUCUACUACUCUCGUUCCAGAGACUUGGGAAAGUUCCUCGAAACUUCCAACCAGCAAGCAAUUCAAAAGGUGUUAUGUUUAAUCUAGAAUGUGGAAUCAAUGUAUUAUGAUUGUGUACUAACAAUUCCAGCUCUUUCCUCCAAUUUUUGCCAUAGAUUUUUGCUGCAGACAGUGUUUUAAUUAUAGCCUGAUUUUGUCGUUCAACUAAUCCCCUCCCGUGGUUGAUGGGCUUGACGGUAUUGCAAACAUCAUCAGAUACGAUUAAUUAUUGUUACAAUCUAUAUAUAUAAAAAUGCAGAGAUCAUUCUUCGUAAUCGCAUCACGUAAGAACGGAUGGACGGAUUGAGGUGCUUUUUUUUGUUUGAUCAGUUUUUACCCCCACCGGGUUCGUACAUCAAAAAAAUUAGGAAAACUUACCGGAAAAGUGGGAAAAACCAAUAAAGUUAUUUUGUAUGGACAAUGGAAUUUUCCACUGAAAAAGUCGCCAAUGAUUGCUAGAUCUACAAUUGAUGUUUGGCGCGCAAGGAGAUGCUCAGUAUUUCGCCGUUGAAGAAAAGAAUACUAGAUCUUUGUAAAAUCGUUUGGCGCGCAACGAGUAGAUUUGGGUGGAGAUUUUACAUGCAUGAUUGAUUCGUCAUUUGGAAACACGUGCUUAAUAGGGUAUCAAAAUCAUUACUUGCCAAAUGACUGUUUUAGCUAUACCUUAAACAGAAACACAAGUUCUAAUGUCAUUUACCAGUAGAUGUAGUUAGAUGAAUUAUGCUGGCCAUCGUGGGCGUGAGUUGAACAAAUCAAAUAAUGUAACGAUUUUUUUUACGUAUCAAUGAUAGGAUUCUGCUGUUGAAAUAAUGAGUUCAGAUGAAAAUAUUUUCCUUGCAUUUAGCAUGCUGACGUUUGUUCAGCCGAUUCGAGUGAGUUUUCAAGAGUGGUUUACUUCAAAACGAAUGGUAUUCAUGACAUUUGUAAGCUGCUUAAACCAAAUCAUUUCAUUUUCCCAACUUUGGAUUAUUUGACGAAUUACCAUAUGCGAAUCGUGAAUAUCAUAUCUGAAGGAGAAAUCGUGGCAUGUAAGAACCAUUAGUUGUGAGAUCUGCUGUUUUAUACAUUGGCUUUAACGAUAAGAAGAAUACUGGUAUAAUCACUCCUCAUGUUCACUCUGCUAGAACAGAAUAUUGAUUCUCAGGACUGAAUACUAAGCAAACCGAUGUGGUGGCUCGACAAAUGAGAGGCCUUUUGAUACAAUUCUUGAACGAAUAUAGCGUUCGUGUCAAAGUUAAUGGACACAAUAUUUAAUAAAAGGGUAAUUUGAACUUUCGAAUGUCCAAGUAUUUUUCAUUUUAUCGCUAAUUCGUUAAUCGAAAAUUGAUCCUGUCAUUAUCCUGCUACGAACAUUCAUCAAACACGACUAAGUAAUAUCACUAGCGGUGAAGUAGGUUAUGGACAACCGUUCAAAAUUUCGAUAAUCCCUAAGGAUUUGCUAUUAAAUUUUAAACGUCUUCAGUACAUGCUUAUCUUGGUCAUCUCUUUUUCAUCCAUCUGUUAAUUUAUUUACUUGUUUAUUUAGAAGCAAGGGAAAAGCCUACUGGAGCUGAGAUUUUGGUUCUCCUUCUCCAGCAGGCAUAAAACCUUCUCAUCUUUUGUAUCAACAAAUAACAUUUGACCAAAUGAUACAUAACGAAUCUUAAAUUACCCUUAUUUAAACUACAAAGCUAACUAACCACUAUUCAUAUUGACUAAUUAUCCUAAUAAAACUAGCGGGAAAAUAUUUGGAGAAAACGGAUUUUAAUGGCGUUACGAGAUAAAUUGAAAUUAAAUCCAUCAGAACAAGUAUUGAAUACGCGACAUAUACUCGAAAACGGUUCAAUGAACCCAUAGUUAGUUCUAGCACGAGGAAUUCUGAGAAAGGGAUUAAACCGCAAAUUACGCCGAAGAAUGUCAAAACUUAGCUGUUGUAGGUCCGCGACGAAAACAGCUUUUUGUGUAUCACGGCGGACAGAUAGCAAAUCGAAGUGUAUGUCUACAACGAUUUUCGUAGCUUGGAAGAUUAAAUGGAUCUCUCCAGGGCAGGCGACGCAAAGCAAAACGAAUGAACUUGCACUGAACAGUUUCAAUGCGUAGCUUAUCUGUUUGAUAAUAUGGUGCCCAAACAACAACAGCAUACUCGCGAACUAGAGCGCAAUAUAACGAUUUCAGGCAGUAUAUGUUAUUGAAAUUUGUUGAGAUGCGAAAGAUGAAUCCUAGCAUCUUUAAUGCUUUAGAGAGGGUAUAUUCUAUGUGAUUUUUGAAACUAAGUUUUGAAUCCAAUAACACUCCUAGAUCCUUAAUUGAUGUCUCCCGUUUUAGUACAGCUUGCGAAAUAGUGUAAUCAUACAUGAUCGUGGUUCGUUUACGAGAGAAGGAGAUUACGAAGCAUUUGAAGGCGUUGAUAACCAUUCUGUUGACGUUGCACCAGUUAGAAAAUACAUCCAACUGUAACUGCAAGAAAUUUGAGUCUUUCAGAUCUUUGAUAAGAUGAAACAGCUUGAAAUCGUCGACGAAUGAUAGCUUCAUAUAUUGCAAUGCGAAAUUCAGAUCAUUUAGAUAUAGCAAAAAUAUGAAUGGUCCUAGAUGGAUUCCCUGAGGAACGCCAGAGCUCACGAUGAAUGAUGGAGUAACGCAGUCGCUAAAUUUCACGGUCGUACUACGACCAGUCAGAUAUGAUUCAAUCCAAUCCAUCAUCCCACAUGUCAAAUCUUUAGUUUGAGAGAGAUCUACAAUCUCUGUUUAAUACACUGACUCGAAGGAUGAGAUGGCAAACGGUGUAUUUGUUUAGUUUUUGCGUAACAAAAGCAUUGAACAUAUCCACAAUAAUUCUUGAUGAUAUUUCUUCUUCGGGACGAAGUUAUUGUGUUGGAUAUGAAUUUGUCGUAAUUCUUUUAUUGUAAGCCAAGUAAUCAGUAAAAUAAUGGAAAGAAACAUUAACGUUUGGCAACUCUGCUGUUCGAAAACACAAAUUGAAAAAAAUAAUUUCAGGCGAGACGAAGUUCGACGGGUCAGCUAGUUUAAUAUAAAUAUGUGUUAUAAGUUUUAGUUUAAUUAUUGAGUUUAUUGAGUGAGGCAUGAAACGAUUUGAAUAAGAUGUUGAUUGCAAUACGCUCCAACAUCCGGGGUUGGAGAGUCCGGUAGGGCUUAACUGAGUUCUUUUUUAUGUUUCAUUUUCAUACUACCGGCCCUUAUUACCGGUGUGAAGUGGAAAUUAAGCGAAAUGAACGUACCCCAGUCAGGUUUCACACGAUAACGGAAUAGUUGAAUGGUGAAUUAAGUUCAUCUUUGACGUUUAUUCUGUGAGGUUGUGUUGUGCUCGUGUGGGAUCUGAUGGAUGAGGUGAUAUGUGAGUGAAGUAUAAGUGAAGUGGAAUGCAAGAACGGUAAUAAAGGCCACCGUUUCAGCUCAGGACUAACGAUCGACCAAUAAAAGAGAUAGAAAAUGGGUGACGGCACCCCCAUUCAUCUCAAAUCCAUUAGUCAUUUCUUAUAUGAAAACCAUUGAUUAGAGCGAGAUAUGUUGUGUCUGUUCGAUAGAUUGACUUCGUGAGAUGAGGUUAGGAGUAUUUCGCGUAGCUAUAACAGCGAUAUCGUACAUUAUCUGAACUACUUUUAUGUGGUAUUGCUUAUAAGAGAUGAAGCAAAGAUUUUGUAUUUGAUUUCAUCACAAUUCAUUUAUUGAAAGUCGAGUAAUCGGUAGAAUAAUAUGGUGACUCUAUUAAUGAAAUGACUAUUGGCACAAUGAAUUUAGUUAAAAUCUAUUAGAAUAGAAAUAGUAAAUCAAUGUUACAAUAUUUGUGUGUAUGUAUGUAUAAAUGUGUGUACGUCAGUAUGCCUUGGUGCCUGUAUAUAUUUAUACAUGUAUGUAUGUAUGCGUUGUAUCAAACCGUAUAUGGUGAUACAUUUCGAUUGUGAGUGAAUAAGAUUGCAUUACGCUCCAACAUCCGGGGUUGGAGAGACCGGUAGGGCUUAACUGAGCUCUUUUUAUGUUUUAUUUUCAUACUACCGGUCCCUAUUACUAGUGUGAAGUGGAAGUUAAGUGGGGUGAACGUAUCCCAAUUGGGUUUCACAAGAUGACAACAGGUGAACGGUGAAUCGAGUCCAUAUUUGGCGUUUAUUGUUGGUUUGUGUACAAUGGAUUACUGUGGAAUGAGAUAGAAUAUUGUAGAAUAGGACGAAAUAAUAAUGAAUCAACCAAUGGACUGAUAUGUAUUCACCUGUACAUUCAUUAAACAUGGUCGAUAUGUUUAGCAUACGACAAUACUACCUAUGGCUCUAUUAAAAUGUGCUCUAGGAAAGAGAAUAAAGCACUUCCUUCUUGAAAAUCAUCGAGUGCAGUUGUAUAUAGUUGAUCAUCCGAAUCCUGAAAAUUAAAAAAGAAAAUUAAAUUAAUAGACAUAAAAAGUGGCGACGAGGAGAAUUUUUUUUUUUUUGAUAAAGUGAGAUCUUGAGCGCGAUAACGUUGGUGGUAAAAAUUUGGAGUGAUUUUUACGGAGCGAGCGGCUAGGGUCGACGAAUUAAAUUAUAAGACGACAACGUGUCCCGUGGAAGGGCAGCCAUUGAGCUUUUAUUCUUGGAUGAAGCAGCGGACAAGUGAAACAUUUCCUGUGGAAGCAGUUUUCGGUUGCUGAAAGGCGAAACUAUUGUGUUGGCUUUGGAAGGUGUCCAAUCAACGGUAGCGGUGGGACGGACAUCACACGUUUCAGAGCAGAGUGGAAAUUAGAUACGGCUGGAGUUUUCAGCGGCCAUCGUGAUUUGUCGUUGGGUUAGCAUCUUCGUAUUCGGUAGAAUAUUAAUAAAGGUCCCGUUUCGGACAGUGGUUGAGGAAGAUAACAAAAAUUUCACACGGAAGAGUUGUGUUAAAAGAUUUUUUUCGGUAAAAUUGCUGACAAAGGUCGGACAUAGUAUCUGAUCUUGCUUGGAAUCGUGGCCAUAAUGGCACACCGAAAACAAAUUAGGUGCUAUAAGGAUCGAGACCCGGAGCCAAGACCAAACAUGAUGAUGGGUCCAAGUUCGGAAGCUGAUAGAUUCGGAAUAUUAGAGCGAGAGGAGUCAUUAUAUGGAGCUGGAAGCGGCUCAGAAGAAAACCUGUUCCGGGGAUUCUCGGAGCAUGAUCUGGCGAAGGUCGGACGGAAAAGAAAAGCUUCAACGGCGAACUUGCCGGGAGGCUGUCUUCGACGCUCAAAGCGUCUUCGGAAGCAAACAGAGAAUCCAGAUUUUUAUUAUGAUCGUUAAUUGAGUCAAAAUCAUUUCGGAUAGAGUCCGUUCAGAACUUUAAGUAAUUGAAUUUCAAAAUUUUAUAUUUGUUUAAACUUGAUUAGUUACAUUUAGGAUAUAUUAAUCCUUUCAAAACUGAAUAUAUUUAAAAAAUAAUUGUUAUUUUUCUAUUGCUUUCUGUAAAUAAGUUCAAAUACACUUUGUAAAUAUUAUUAUUAAGAAAACUCUUUAAAAAGGGAAGAAUUGAUAUGUAUUCACCUGUACAUUCAUUAAACAUGGUCGAUAUGUUUAGCAUACGACAAUACUACCUACGGCUCUAUUAAAAUGUGCUCUAGGAAAGAGAAUA